UCAAAUAAAUUAUUUCCUUAUCGCAGCAAUUAUAUUCGGAAUAGCACUCAGAAGAACUGGGUCGAUUAAAAACAAAUAAGUGACAAGACAAAUUAUUUUUUUCGACAGAUACUGCCUGUUAAUAGGCAGCCGAUCUGCGAACAUUUUCAUUCUCACCCCUUCUUUUUCUCUUCCGGCCAAUGAGCGAUCGUCUUCAAUAAAAUUCAUCCAGUCGUAGCGCGCUAUAGAAUGCAAGAUAUCGCUAAUUUGAAUAGAUCAAUCACGAAUCGAGAAACGAUUUAAGAAUUACCCAUGUGAUUUUUGCGGAAGAUACUCGUGAUUGGUUGUCAUUUCUCCCUCAUUUUUGCAAGUUUCAGCCGAUCAACUCAGUAUCAGUUCUACUGUCUUCUACAUCACAUAUGGGAUGCAGGACGCAAUAUACUAAAUAUUGGUCUCAUUCUCAAUGGGCUUUUGGAACCAACAGCUAUAAGAAAUCCCGAAAAUUUCAAUGCCUUGAAGUCGUUCGUAGAACAUUUGUCGGUGGAGGAUCCCAGUCCAUCCAUCUAAACAAGCUCGAAAGAGCGUGCACAAAAAUGCAGAUCAGAGGUUCAGUAUGAUUUUCAAUCUUCAUUAUUUGGCCAAUCAAAACACGGGACGAAAAGGGCGCCAAAGAUGUUUAAAUUUAAAAAAUAAUUAUAAAAGUAAAGACAAUUAGUUCACACUGUUAAUUUAUUCAAAUUUAAUAUAUUAUUGUUAUAUUUAAAAUAUUAGAAGCAAUAAAUGUGAUGAUGAUUAUAAAAACGAAUCCUGACAAAAAAAAUUAAGUGGAAAAAGAAAAAAAAAGUACAUUCAGAUUCUUUUGUUUAUUUGUAUAUGUAUAUUGCAACUAUUAAUUUUGCAUAAAAUGUAAAUAAAAUUUUUCGUUGAUGGAUUAUACACCUGAAUAUAGAGUUCAGUUCAAUAAAAUUGUGAAAAUAAGAGCAACUUUUGUUCUUGCAUUCAAGAAAUAAAAAAAAUGGACUUUGUUACCGUGAUA